AACGUAGGACGCAAGCGUUAUCCGGAGUUACUGGGCGUAAAGCGCGGGCAGGCGGCUCGAUGCGUCUGAUGUGAAAUCUCCUCGCUCAACGGGGAGAGGCCAUUGGAAACGGUCGGGCUGGAGGGCAGUAGAGGUAGGCGGAAUUCCGGGUGGAGUGGUGAAAUGCGUAGAGAUCCGGAGGAACACCAGAGGCGAAGGCGGCCUGACUGGGCUGCACCCUGACG
rnacentral:rRNA from 1 species